CAGAGGUCUCAAGCGUUGUUCGGAUUCAUUGGGCGUAAAGGGUGUGUAGGUGGCGCCGUAAGUCGGGUGUGAAAUUUCGGAGCUUAACUCCGAAACUGCAUUCGAUACUGCGGUGCUUGAGGACUGGAGAGGAGACUGGAAUUCAUGGUGUAGCAGUGAAAUGCGUAGAGAUCAUGAGGAAGACCAGUGGCGAAGGCGGGUCUCUGGACAGUUCCUGGCACUGAGACACGAAGGCCAGGGGAGCAAACGGG
rnacentral:rRNA from 1 species